UCAAUGGAGGGAACUCUGAACCAGCCAUGCCGCGUGCAGGAAGACUGCCCUAUGGGUUGUAAACUGCUUUUAUCCGGGAAUAAACCUACUUACGUGUAAGUAGCUGAAUGUACCGGAAGAAUAAGGAUCGGCUAACUCC
rnacentral:rRNA from 1 species